UACAGAGGUCUCAAGCGUUGUUCGGCUUCAUUGGGCGUAAAGGGUGUGUAGGUGGCGCCGUAAGUCGGGUGUGAAAUUUCGGAGCUUAACUCCGAAACUGCAUUCGAUACUGCGGUGCUUGAGGACUGGAGAGGAGACUGGAAUUCAUGGUGUAGCAGUGAAAUGCGUAGAGAUCAUGAGGAAGACCAGUGGCGAAGGCGGCCUUCUGGACAGUGACUGACGCUGAGACGCGAAAGCGUGGGGAGCAAACAGG
rnacentral:rRNA from 1 species